GAUAUGAUCCAAAGGCUCCCAGUGCCUGGGAGGAGCCAAUUGAGCCUUAUAAAGAGACCAGUCUUUGCCCAGAUGCACAGAACACUCACCUCCUCCUCACUGCCUCCUCGUCAGCUUUGCUUCCUUGAAAACCAAGAUGAGCCAUACUCCAGUUGAACAGUCCGUGAUGGACUUGAUUGUCCCGUUCCACAAAUACGCAAAAUCUGAUGACAUGAUUGACAAGCCGGGCCUGCUGAAGAUUCUGAAGGAGAAUUUCCCAAACUUCCUCAAGGCUUGUGUGAGUCUGGUUGACUUCUCCAGGUUGCUUGGGCCCUGGCAUGGCAGAGGACUUGGGACAAGUCAAUCCCAUUCUCUGAUCCUCAAUAUUCUCAUCUGCAAAAAGGCCUAAAAGGACUUUCCUGACUUAUUAUCAGGAUGAAAGAGAUGAUACAUGUGGCCAAGAGUAAAGGCAUCUGGAGAUCAAGGGUAGUUAUCAGGUGGUGAAAUAGGAGAGUAAAGAAUGGGUCCCCUCCCACUUGUCACUCUCCAUCCAGGAGUCUGAAGCCCAUAGGCUCAGGCUCUGCCUCUAGAAGCCUCUAUUAGGUUCUCUGAGAUCCAAGGGAAGGUGAUAGAAAUUCCACAGCUGAUAAUAUUUAACACCUUUCAUUACAAUGAAAAAGCUCAUUCAUAGACCUGAUUUAUUCUGACAAUUAGAAUGCACUGAACUGAUUACAAA